UACGUAGGGGGCAAGCGUUGUCCGGAAUCAUUGGGCGUAAAGAGCGUGUAGGCGGCCAGAUAAGUCCGCUGUGAAAACUCGAGGCUCAACUUCGAGCUGUCGGCGGAAACUAUCUAGCUAGAGUCCGGAAGAGGAGAGUGGAAUUCCUGGUGUAGCGGUGAAAUGCGCAGAUAUCAGGAAGAACACCCGUGGCGAAGGCGGCUCUCUGGGACGGUACUGACGCUGAGACGCGAAAGCGUGGGGAGCGAACAGG
rnacentral:rRNA from 1 species